UUUUAUUCCUCUCCACAUUAAAAACCAAAGACCAAUACCAAAGCUCGGCUCACGUUAGCACUUUUCAAUCUCCGGCAUCCGCCAUGGACGCUACGGUGACCGCAGAUCCAGAUUCAGAUCAACCUCCAUUCAACACAGCUCCCACCGCCACUGCUGACGCAGACUCCGGCGCCGCCACUGCCAUUGAUGAUCCCUUAAACAAUCCAUACGGCUCGCUGAACGAUCACUGCCACGAACUAGGCGCCCUGCAGGAUCUGGCUUGCCGAGGAGCGUGGCGGUCGAUCCUUGACAAGAUUGGCCGCGCUCGCUCGCUUUCCCUCCUCACAAAGCCCCAUGAGCACCUCAUCUACCUCACUUACAAUGUCCUUGCUCUCACUAAGCUCCGCCGCUUCUCCGACGCCGGCAACGAGCUCAACACCGUGCUUGAAGGCGACGAAUUCGAGAGCUCCCAAUACGUAUACGAAACUUACCCUAAUCAUUACCCCAACUCCAAGGGCUCCAUGGUCCCCUUCGCCCUCCGUUGGCUCCACGCUCAUCUCCCCUCCACCCUGGGUCAGCGCCAGCAAGCUCUCGAUCGCCUGUACUCCCUCCUCGAUUUCAUUCGUUCCAAGAAACUGAACAAUUUGCAGUCAAGGUCAAAAGUUUCAGAAGAUUUGUGGAGAAAACGCGAAAUUUUUGUGAUAAAUACUAUAAUCAGUUACCAUUUGAGUCAGAAGGAGUUCAAGGUGUGUUCGGAUUUGCUGAAUGAAUUGAUUGGAAAAAGAGGAUGUGGGAAUGAUCCCUUUCUGGUGUCAAAACUGGGACAUGUCCAGAUGCAGUAUGGAGAUUUGGAAGGAGCAAAAACAACUUUCAAAGUAGUAGAAGAUAUAAUUGAGAAUGAGGAUGAUGUGAGGUUGAAGAAUUUAGUCAGCAGGAACAAGGCAUUGAUUUAUAUUCUAGGAAAAGACUAUGUUUCUGCUGUGAGGGAGUACGAGGAGUGCAUAGAGAGGGAUGGGAUGGAUAUGGUGGCAAUCAACAACAAGGCAUUGUGUUUGAUGUAUUUGAGGGACUUAUCUGAUGCUAUCAAAGUGUUGGAGAAUGCCUUGGAGCGGGUUCCCACCGUGGCAUUGAACGAGACUGUGGUGGUGAACUUGUGUAGUAUGUAUGAAUUGGCUUAUGUUAAUCAUGUGGAUAUAAAGAAGACUCUUAAUAAUUGGAUUGCUAGAGUUGCUCCAGAUGAUUUCGAUUCGACGUGUACCCGAAUAUGAGGUAUUCAUUGUUUAACCUUAAUGCAAACUCGAGAUUAAAGACAGUAUUCAGUUUUGAUGUAUGCUACUUUCUCAUUAUUGAAUGCAUCUUGUGUAGAUUUACCCUGCAAUCAGAAUGAUACCUACUUUGUGCUAAAUCUGGCGGGUGCCAUUUAUGCUUUUGCUUUUCCCUGUAUGUUGUGUGCUUCUUGUUAUUUGGGUUAAUGCAUUAUCAUGGACUAAUAAAUUGGCAUGUUAUACAUCUUU